rnacentral:tRNA from 1 species
GGAGAGAUGGCCGAGCUGGUUGAAGGCGGUUGACUCGAAAUCAACUGUAGGGGAAACCUUACCGGGGGUUCGAAUCCCUCUCUCUCCGCCA